AAGCCCCGGCUAAAUACGUGCCAGCAGCCGCGGUAAUACGUAUGGGGCAAGCGUUGUCCGGAUUUACUGGGCGUAAAGGGCGCGUAGGCGGUUUGUUAAGUCGAAGGUGAAAUCCUCGGGCUCAACUCGAGAAUUGCCUUCGAUACUGGCAAACUAGAGUGCCGGAGAGGAAAGCGGAACUCUUGGUGUAACGGUGGAAUGUGUAGAUAUCAAGAGGAACACCGGUGGCGAAGGCGGCUUUCUGGACGCACACUGACGCUCAGGCGCGAAAGCGUGGGUAGCAAACAGGAUUAGAUACCCUGGUAGUCCACGCCAUAAACGAUGGGUACUAGGUGUCGGGGGUAUCGACCCCUCCGGUGCCGCAGUUAACGCACUAAGUACCCCGCCUGGGGAUUAUGGUCGCAAGGCUGAAACUCAAAGGAAUUGACGGGGCCCCGCACAAGCGGUGGAGCAUGUGGUUUAAUUCGACGCAACGCGAAGAACCUUACCUGGGCUUGACAUGCUUGGGACAGCGCUGGAAACAGCGUCUCUCCUUCGGGAGCCCUUGCACAGGUGCUGCAUGGCUGUCGUCAGCUCGUGUCGUGAGAUGUUGGGUUAAGUCCCGCAACGAGCGCAACCCUCGUUACUAGUUGCCAUCAGUUCGGCCGGGCACUCUAGUGAGACUGCCGGUGAUAAACCGGAGGAAGGUGAGGAUGAUGUCAAGUCAUCAUGGCCCUUACGCCCAGGGCUACACACGUGCUACAAUGGUCGGCACAAAGGGUCGCUAAGCCGCGAGGUGGAGCUAAUCCCAAAAAGCCGGCCUCAGUUCGGAUUGGAGUCUGCAACCCGACUCCAUGAAGGCGGAAUCGCUAGUAAUCGCGGAUCAGCAUGCCGCGGUGAAUAUGUUCCCGGGGCUUGUACACACCGCCCGUCAUAUCACCCGAGUCGGGAUACCCGAAGUCCGUGACCCAACCAUUUGGAGGGAGCGGCCGAAGGUGUGCCUGUAAGGGG
rnacentral:rRNA from 1 species